AUGUACCGUACGCUCACGCAUUUAGAGAUCACAGUGGAUAAUAACAAGAAAAUUUGGAUGUCAAAGAUUUCACUAAAAGUUAAAAUCUUUAUGUGGUAUCUUCGAAGGGGAGUUGUGCUAACCAAAGACAAUCUUGCCCGUUGCAAUUGGCACGGAAGAAAGAAGUAUAGUUUUUCUACUCAUGACGAGACAAUCAAACACCUCUUCUUCAAUGCAAGUUUGCACGUUCUAUGUGGUCAAUCAUCCAAAUAG
rnacentral:rRNA from 1 species